AUUCCUUCCGUCGAUGAGGUAAAACACCCUCAUCGGCCGGAAGGGAUUCCUUCCGGUCGAUGAGGUAUAACAACCUCAUCGACGGAAGGAAUCCCUUCCGUCGAUGAGGGUGUUUUACCUCAUCGACCGGAAGGAAU
rnacentral:miRNA from 1 species